GGUCACUGUGACAUCCACUGACCGCGGAGGCGGCUUCCGCUUGGAGCCGUUGGGGUCCAGUUCUGAGGUGCCGGCUUCAGGAGUUCCCCAGAAAUGCUGUCAGCAAUCAAGUUGAGGAAUUUGGAUGAGAUGACUGAAUCAAAGAAGGCCAACUAUUUCAGAAAAAAGAAAAAAUUGAUAUAUCUAAAGCUACCUCCAAAAAGAAGGAAGGAAGAAUUUGUCUCAAACAACCAUCUGAUUUCUUCCAGGCAAUGAGGAGUGACCUUGCCCAUUUAAGAAGCAAAGGGCCAGGGGAUUACCAAGACAUAUUCAAUGGGAUCAUCUGCACAUCUGUUUCUUCCUAAGAUCUAAGACCUUCGCUGCCUUCUUAUAAAGGUUCAGGUCCUUUACCUGACAGGAUUGUGACUCCUGUCUCUUCCACCUGCCACAAAGCCAGAAGAAACAGAAAACCGACAAGUGAAGUUUGGGAAGGUCGCUCAUUCCAGCAGCAUUGGUCUUGCAUGUACCAGAUUCACUUUCGUAUGGAUUCAUCCUUCACACUGAAAAGAUGUGCUUAGGUGAGCACUAAAGCAUAAAGCUCACUAGGAAUCUCAAUGUUUCUCUUGGUGGAAGUAUUCUUUAAAAAUAAAUGCUGGGGGCUGGGG